rnacentral:lncRNA from 1 species
UAAAAAGUAACAAUAACAAAUAUCAGACAAUUUAAUCACAAAAAGUGUAAAUGAAAUUGAAAAAUUAUUAUACCUCAGGAACCCCUUUGUGGAAUUAGAUGUGAAAAGAUUGGAAUAUUAGCGAAAAUUAGGAAUUGAUUUUUAGUGAAUGGAAGUUGGAUUGCCUAAACUUGAACUAAAGGUCGAAAAUCAAAGUAAAAC